rnacentral:rRNA from 1 species
CAAGUCUGGUGCCAGCAGGCCGCGGUAAAUUCCAGCUCCAAUAGUGUAUAUUAAAGUUGCUGCGGUUAAAAAGCUCGUAGUUGGAGUUUCGUAGGGUUGUUAUCUGAACCUUCUCGCCCUAAAAAGUGGGGGGGCUAAGGUAGCAGUAGUUUUCAUCAUAGUCCAUCAGGAUACUCUCUUGAUGUGUACUGGGUGUUAACCUCCUUUUUUUCUGGUACUUGCUAUCCAGCAAUGGGUAGUUUUGUCCAGAUAGUUUACUUUGAAAAAAUUAGAGUGUUCAAAGCAGGCAUAAUUGGCAUCAUGAAUACAUUAGCAUGGGAUAAUAGAAUAUGACAUUGGUCUUAUUUUGUUGGUUUCUAAGGCCAAAGUAAUGAUUGAUAGGGAUAGUUGGGGCCGCUCGUAUUGAGUUGUCAGAGGUGAAAUUCUAGGAUUUACUCAAGACGAACUAAUGCGAAAGCAUUCGGCAAGGAUGUUUUUCAUUAAUCAAGAACGAAAGUUGGG